rnacentral:rRNA from 1 species
GAUGAACGCUAGCGGCAGGCUUAAUACAUGCAAGUCGAACGGUAAGGUUUCUUCGGAGACACACGAGUGGCGCACGGGUGCGUAACGCGUAUGCAACCUACCUUUAACUGGGGAAUAGCCCCGAGAAAUCGGGAUUAAUACUCCAUAACAUCCAGUAUUCGCAUGGUAUUGGAUUAAAGCUCCGGCGGUUAAAGAUGGGCAUGCGUGGCAUUAGCUAGUUGGUGAGGUAACGGCUCACCAAGGCAACGAUGACCUAGGGGUCCUGAGAGGGUUAACCCCCACACUGGUACUGAGACACGGACCAGACUCCUACGGGUGGCAG